rnacentral:misc_RNA from 1 species
GAUGAAGAACGUAGCGAACGUGCGAAACGUAAUGUGAAUUGCAGAAUUCAGUGAAUCAUCGAAUCUUUGAACGCAUCUUGCGCUCCUUGGUAUUCCGAGGAGCAUGCCUGUUUGAGUGUCGUGAAAUACUCUCAAUUUCAAUCUUUUUGUUUGAAAUUGGAUUUGGGCGUUGUCGUGAAUUCACGACUUGCCCUAAAUGCAUUAGCGAUCCCUGUCUUUGAUCACACAAUGUGAUAAUAAAAAAACAUUGUUACAGUCGAGUCAAGGUUGCUUCUAACUGUCUGUCACCAGACAACCAUUACAUGUCAAUUGACCUCAAAUCAGGUAGGACUACCCGCUGAACUUAAGCAUAUCAAUAAGCGGAGGA